UACGGGGGGGGCAAGCGUUGUUCGGAAUUACUGGGCGUAAAGGGCUUGUAGGUGGCCAACUAAGUCAGACGUGAAAUCCCUCGGCUUAACCGGGGAACUGCGUCUGAUACUGGAUGGCUAGAGUUUGGGAGAGGGAUGCGGAAUUCCAGGUGUAGCGGUGAAAUGCGUAGAUAUCUGGAGGAACACCGGUGGCGAAGGCGGCAUCCUGGACCAAUACUGACACUGAAAAGCGAAAGCCAGGGGAGCAAACGGG
rnacentral:rRNA from 1 species